AUAUAUAUAUACACACACACACAUAUACACACACACACAUAUAUAUAAAUAAAUAUACAUGUGUGUGUGUGUUUAUGUUUAU